rnacentral:rRNA from 1 species
UACAGAGGUCUCAAGCGUUGUUCGGAUUCAUUGGGCGUAAAGCGUGCGCAGGCGGUUUUGUAAGUCUGUCGUGAAAUCCCCGGGCUCCAACCUGGGAAUUGCGAUGGAGACUGCAAGGCUAGAAUCUGGCAGAGGGGGGUAGAAUUCCACGUGUAGCAGUGAAAUGCGUAGAUAUGCGGAGGAACACCGAUGGCGAAGGCAAUCCCCUGGGCCUGCACUGA